UGGGGAAUAUUGGACAAUGGGCGAAAGCCUGAUCCAGCCAUGCCGCGUGUGUGAAGAAGGCCUUUUGGUUGUAAAGCACUUUAAGUGGGGAGGAAAAGCUUGUGGUUAAUACCCAUAAGCCCUGACGUUACCCACAGAAUAAGCACCGGCUAACUCUGUGCCAGCAGCCGCGGUAAUACAGAGGGUGCAAGCGCUAAUCGGAAUUACUGGGCGUAAAGCGCGCGUAGGUGGUUAUUUAAGUCAGAUGUGAAAGCCCCGGGCUUAACCUGGGAACUGCAUCUGAUACUGGAUAACUAGAGUAGGUGAGAGGGGAGUAGAAUUCCAGGUGUAGCGGUGAAAUGCGUAGAGAUCUGGAGGAAUACCGAUGGCGAAGGCAGCUCCCUGGCAUCAUACUGACACUGAGGUGCGAAAGCGUGGGUAGCAAACAGGAUUAGAUACCCUGGUAGUCCACGCCGUAAACGAUGUCUACCAGUCGUUGGGUCUUUUAAAGACUUAGUGACGCAGUUAACGCAAUAAGUAGACCGCCUGGGGAGUACGGCCGCAAGGUUA
rnacentral:rRNA from 1 species